AGACCCAGGCAAGAAGGGGUGCUGCUUUGGACUGCAUAUUUUGUCAAACUCAAUUCGAUCCUUCCCCAGCCUAACCCCAGUUUUCAAGGAGAUUGCAAGAGGACAACUUGGCUCUAAAAUCGAUGCAUGAACAUGCCAUUAGAAUUGACCUUGCCAAAAGAUGCCUCCCUAAAUCCACAAGAAUCUCCUUGUUUGAACACAGUUUCUAAUCCAGCUGUAAUGAAGACAGACAACAGUCAAGUUAACAAGACUUCCAUUACUAUCUUAAAUAGACAUGGCAGAGUUAGCGUCUUUUUCUUAUUCCUGGUCUUAGAGGAAACACUUUCAACUUUUCA